CAGUCGCCGCGGUAAUACAGAGGGUGCAAGCGUUAAUCGGAAUUACUGGGCGUAAAGCGCGCGUAGGUGGUUCGCCAAGUUGGAUGUGAAAUCCCCGGGCUCAACCUGGGAACUGCAUCCAAAACUGGCGAGCUAGAGUAUGGUAGAGGGUGGUGGAAUUUCCUGUGUAGCGGUGAAAUGCGUAGAUAUAGGAAGGAACAUCUGUGGCGAAGGCGACUAUCUGGGCCAACACUGACACUGAGGCACGAAAGCGUGGGGAGCAAACAGGAUUAGAUACCCGGGUAGUCCCUGUCUCUUAUAC
rnacentral:rRNA from 1 species